UCAGGACGAACGCUGGCGGCGUGCUUAACACAUGCAAGUCGAACGAUGAUGCCCAGCUUGCUGGGUGGAUUAGUGGCGAACGGGUGAGUAACACGUGAGUAACCUGCCCCUGACUCUGGGAUAAGCGUUGGAAACGACGUCUAAUACUGGAUAUGACUGCCGGCCGCAUGGUCUGGUGGUGGAAAGAUUUUUUGGUUGGGGAUGGACUCGCGGCCUAUCAGCUUGUUGGUGAGGUAAUGGCUCACCAAGGCGACGACGGGUAGCCGGCCUGAGAGGGUGACCGGCCACACUGGGACUGAGACACGGCCCAGACUCCUACGGGAGGCAGCAGUGGGGAAUAUUGCACAAUGGGCGAAAGCCUGAUGCAGCAACGCCGCGUGAGGGAUGACGGCCUUCGGGUUGUAAACCUCUUUUAGUAGGGAAGAAGCGUAAGUGACGGUACCUGCAGAAAAAGCACCGGCUAACUACGUGCCAGCAGCCGCGGUAAUACGUAGGGUGCAAGCGUUGUCCGGAAUUAUUGGGCGUAAAGAGCUCGUAGGCGGUUUGUCGCGUCUGCUGUGAAAUCCCGAGGCUCAACCUCGGGCUUGCAGUGGGUACGGGCAGACUAGAGUGCGGUAGGGGAGAUUGGAAUUCCUGGUGUAGCGGUGGAAUGCGCAGAUAUCAGGAGGAACACCGAUGGCGAAGGCAGAUCUCUGGGCCGUAACUGACGCUGAGGAGCGAAAGCGUGGGGAGCGAACAGGAUUAGAUACCCUGGUAGUCCACGCCGUAAACGUUGGGCGCUAGAUGUAGGGACCUUUCCACGGUUUCUGUGUCGUAGCUAACGCAUUAAGCGCCCCGCCUGGGGAGUACGGCCGCAAGGCUAAAACUCAAAGGAAUUGACGGGGGCCCGCACAAGCGGCGGAGCAUGCGGAUUAAUUCGAUGCAACGCGAAGAACCUUACCAAGGCUUGACAUACACCGGAAACGGCCAGAGAUGGUUGCCCCCUUGUGGUCGGUGUACAGGUGGUGCAUGGUUGUCGUCAGCUCGUGUCGUGAGAUGUUGGGUUAAGUCCCGCAACGAGCGCAACCCUCGUUCUAUGUUGCCAGCGCGUUAUGGCGGGGACUCAUAGGAGACUGCCGGGGUCAACUCGGAGGAGGGUGGGGAUGACGUCAAAUCAUCAUGCCCCUUUAUGUCUUGGGCUUCACGCAUGCUACAAUGGGCCGGUACAAAGGGCUGCGAUACCCGUAAGGUGGGAGCGAAUCCCAAAAAGCCGGGU
rnacentral:rRNA from 1 species